rnacentral:tRNA from 1 species
GCCCGGGUGGCGGAACUGGCAGACGCACGGGACUUAAAAUCCCGAGAGGGCGACCUCAUGCGGGUUCAAUUCCCGCCCCGGGCACCA